GACGAACGCUGGCGGCGUGCUUAACACAUGCAAGUCGAACGGAAAGGCCCUGCUUUUGUGGGGUGCUCGAGUGGCGAACGGGUGAGUAACACGCGAGUAACCUGCCCUUGACUUUGGGAUAACUUCAGGAAACUGGGGCUAAUACCGGAUAGGAGCUCCUGCUGCACGGUGGGGGUUGGAAAGUUUCGGCGGUUGGGGAUGUACUCGCGGCUUAUCAGCUUGUUGGUGGGGUAGUUGCUUACCAAGGCUGUGACGGGUAGCCGGCCUGAGAGGGUGACCGGCCCCAAUGGGACUGAGAGACGGACCAGUCUCGUACGUGAGGCAGUAGGGGGGAAUAUUGCACAAUGGGCGGAAGCCAGAUGCAGCAGCGCCGCGUGCGUGAUGAUGGCCUUCGGGGUGUGAACCGCUUUCGCCUGUGCCGAAGCGUGAGUGACGGUAAUGGGUAAAGAAGCACCGGCUAACUACGUG
rnacentral:rRNA from 1 species